rnacentral:rRNA from 14 species
UUAAGUUGUUGCAGUUAAAAAGCUCGUAGUUGGAUUUCUGGCGGGAGUCCGGGUCGGCCUUAACGGGUUGCACUGUUGUGACGUCUCGCCGUUUCGAGGGGAAUGGGCUCGCUAUUAGGUUAGUGUGCUCGGGAACCUCGUCGUUUACUGUGAAAAAAUUAGAGUGUUCAAAGCAGGCCUUUGCUGUGAAUACAUUAGCAUGGAAUAAUAAGAUAGGACUAUGGUGCUAUUUUGUUGGUUUGCGUACUAUGGUAAUGAU